AUUUAUUCCAAUGGGAAAUUCUUCUUCAAGGAUGCGCGUGAAAUUUAUGUUGAUGGUGGACGAAGAAUCUGGAUGGGAGAGGAGUGUUGUAAGCGUGAUCAUGAACAAAUGCUAUGGAGUAGAGUGGUUCAGAACGUCUAAUGUUGGUUUGGUGGAAAUAUGUGGGCGUGUUGAUCCAAGUGAAGUGGUCAUAAUGUUGUGGAGAGAAG